rnacentral:rRNA from 1 species
UACAUGGGGUGCAAACGUUGCUCGGAAUUAUUGGGCGUAAAGCGCGCGUAGGCGGUUACUUAAGUCGGAUGUGAAAGCCCUCGGCUUAACUGAGGAAGUGCACCCGAAACUGAGUAGCUAGAGUACGAAAGAGGGUCGCGGAAUUCCCGGUGUAGCGGUGAAAUGCGUAGAUAUCUGGAGGAACACCGGUGGCGAAGGCGGCAUCCUGGACCGGUAUUGACGCUGAGGCGCGAAAGCCAGGGGAGCAAACGGG